rnacentral:rRNA from 1 species
CCUACGGGUGGCAGCAGUGGGGGAUAUUGCACAAUGGGGGGAACCCUGAUGCAGCGACGCCGCGUGGGUGAAGGAGCGUUUCGGCGCGUAAAGCCCUAUCGGCAGGGAAGAAGAUGACGGUACCUGGCCAAGAAGCCCCGGCUAACUACGUGCCAGCAGCCGCGGUAAUACGUAGGGGGCAAGCGUUAUCCGGAUUUACUUGGUGUAAAGGGGGCGCAGACGGCAAUGCAAGCCAGGAGUGAAAGCCCGGGGCCCAACCCCGGGACUGCUCUUGGAACUGCAUGGCUGGAGUACAGGAGGGUCAGGCGGAAUUCCUAGUGUAGCGGUGGAAUGCGUAGAUAUUAGGAGGAACACCAGUGGCGAAGGCGAUUUGCUGGACUGUAACUGACACUGAGGCACGAAAGCGUGGGGAGCAAACAGGAUUAGAUACCCUGGUAGUC